UAACAUCCGCAGGCUGCCGGCCCCCAGGCUGGGCUGGGUGAGUAUAUCUUCGAAAGCCUCACCCUCAAGUACGACUAGGAGC
rnacentral:pre_miRNA from 1 species